rnacentral:rRNA from 1 species
AGAGUUUGAUCCUGGCUCAGGACGAACGCUGGCGGCGCGCCUAACACAUGCAAGUCGAACGAGCGAGAGAGAGCUUGCUUUCUCGAGCGAGUGGCGAACGGGUGAGUAACGCGUGAGGAACCUGCCUCAAAGAGGGGGACAACAGUUGGAAACGACUGCUAAUACCGCAUAAGCCCACGGCUCGGCAUCGAGCAGAGGGAAAAGGAGCAAUCCGCUUUGAGAUGGCCUCGCGUCCGAUUAGCUAGUUGGUGAGGUAACGGCCCACCAAGGCGACGAUCGGUAGCCGGACUGAGAGGUUGAACGGCCACAUUGGGACUGAGACACGGCCCAGACUCCUACGGGAGGCAGCAGUGGGGAAUAUUGCACAAUGGGGGAAACCCUGAUGCAGCGACGCCGCGUGGAGGAAGAAGGUCUUCGGAUUGUAAACUCCUGUUGUUGAGGAAGAUAAUGACGGUACUCAACAAGGAAGUGACGGCUAACUACGUGCCAGCAGCCGCGGUAAAACGUAGGUCACAAGCGUUGUCCGGAAUUACUGGGUGUAAAGGGAGCGCAGGCGGGAAGACAAGUUGGAAGUGAAAUCCAUGGGCUCAACCCAUGAACUGCUUUCAAAACUGUUUUUCUUGAGUAGUGCAGAGGUAGGCGGAAUUCCCGGUGUAGCGGUGGAAUGCGUAGAUAUCGGGAGGAACACCAGUGGCGAAGGCGGCCUACUGGGCACCAACUGACGCUGAGGCUCGAAAGUGUGGGUAGCAAACAGGAUUAGAUACCCUGGUAGUCCACACCGUAAACGAUGAUUACUAGGUGUUGGAGGAUUGACCCCUUCAGUGCCGCAGUUAACACAAUAAGUAAUCCACCUGGGGAGUACGACCGCAAGGUUGAAACUCAAAGGAAUUGACGGGGGCCCGCACAAGCAGUGGAGUAUGUGGUUUAAUUCGACGCAACGC